GACGAACGCUGGCGGCGUGCCUAAUACAUGCAAGUCGAGCGGAUCUUCAUUAGCUUGCUUUUGAAGAUCAGCGGCGGACGGGUGAGUAACACGUGGGCAACCUGCCUGUAAGACUGGGAUAACUUCGGGAAACCGGAGCUAAUACCGGAUAAUCCUUUUCCUCUUAUGAGGAAAAGCUGAAAGACGGUUUCGGCUGUCACUUACAGAUGGGCCCGGGGCGCAUUAGCUAGUUGGUGAGGUAACGGCCAACCAAGGCGACGAUGCGUAGCCGACCUGAGAGGGUGAUCGGCCACACUGGGACUGAGACACGGCCCAGACUCCUACGGGAGGCAGCAGUAGGGAAUCUUCCGCAAUGGACGAAAGUCUGACGGAGCAACGCCGCGUGAGCGAUGAAGGCCUUCGGGUCGUAAAGCUCUGUUGUCAGGGAAGAACAAGUACCGGAGUAACUGCCGGUACCUUGACGGUACCUGACCAGAAAGCCACGGCUAACUACGUGCCAGCAGCCGCCGUAA
rnacentral:rRNA from 1 species